rnacentral:rRNA from 1 species
GAUCAUGGCUUAGGACGAACGCUGGCGGCGUGCUUAACACAUGCAAGUCGAACGAAGGGUAGAAAUACCCUUAGUGGCGGACGGGUGAGUAACGCGUGAGCAAUCUGCCCUUGUCAGGGGAAUAACACAUAGAAAUGUGUGCUAAUACCGCAUGACGUUACGAAGUGGCAUCACUUUGUAACCAAAGAAUUAUCGGACAAGGAUGAGCUCGCGUCCCAUUAGGUAGUUGGUGAGGUAACGGCCC